rnacentral:rRNA from 1 species
GUUAAUCGGAAUUACUGGGCGUAAAGCGAGCGCAGACGGUUACUUAAGCAGGAUGUGAAAUCCCCGGGCUCAACCUGGGAACUGCGUUCUGAACUGGGUGACUAGAGUGUGUCAGAGGGAGGUAGAAUUCCACGUGUAGCAGUGAAAUGCGUAGAGAUGUGGAGGAAUACCGAUGGCGAAGGCAGCCUCCUGGGAUAACACUGACGUUCAUGCUCGAAAGCGUGGGUAGCAAACAGGAUUAGAUACCCUGGUAGUCCACGCCCUAAACGAUGUCAAUUAGCUGUUGGGCAACUUGAUUGCUUAGUAGCGUAGCUAACGCGUGAAAUUGACCGCCUGGGGAGUACGGUCGCAAGAUUAAAACUCAAAGGAAUUGACGGGGACCCGCACAAGCGGUGGAUGAUGUGGAUUAAUUCGAUGCAACGCGAAGAACCUUACCUGGUCUUGACAUGUACGGAAUCCUCCAGAGACGGAGGAGUGCCUUCGGGAGCCGUAACACAGGUGCUGCAUGGCUGUCGUCAGCUCGUGUCGUGAGAUGUUGGGUUAAGUCCCGCAACGAGCGCAACCCUUGUCAUUAGUUGCCAUCAUUUAGUUGGGCACUCUAAUGAGACUGCCGGUGACAAGCCGGAGGAAGGUGGGGAUGACGUCAAGUCCUCAUGGCCCUUAUGACCAGGGCUUCACACGUCAUACAAUGGUCGGUACAGAGGGUAGCCAAGCCGCGAGGUGGAGCCAAUCUCACAAAACCGAUCGUAGUCCGGAUUGCACUCUGCAACUCGAGUGCAUGAAGUCGGAAUCGCUAGUAAUCGCAGGUCAGCAUACUGCGGUGAAUACGUUCCCGGGUCUUGUACACACCGCCCGUCACACCAUGGGAGUGGGGGAUACCAGAAGUAGGUAGG